GACGAACGCUGGCGGCGUGCUUAACACAUGCAAGUCGAACGGAAAGGCCCUGCUUUUGUGGGGUGCUCGAGUGGCGAACGGGUGAGUAACACGUGAGUAACCUGCCCUUGACUUUGGGAUAACUUCAGGAAACUGGGGCUAAUACCGGAUAGGAGCUCCUGCUGCAUGGUGGGGGUUGGAAAGUUUCGGCGGUUGGGGAUGGACUCGCGGCUUAUCAGCUUGUUGGUGGGGUAGUGGCUUACCAAGGCUUUGACGGGUAGCCGGCCUGAGAGGGUGACCGGCCACAUGGGGACUGAGGUACGGCCCAGACUCCUACGGGAGGCAGCAGUGGGGAAUAUUGCACAAUGGCGGAAGCCUGAUGCAGCAACGCCGCGUGCGGGAUGACGGCCUUCGGGUUGUAAACCGCUUUCGCCUGUGACGAAGCGUGAGUGACGGUAAUGGGUAAAGAAGCACCGGCUAACUACGUG
rnacentral:rRNA from 1 species